AGCCGAGACUACACUUCCUGUGAGGCCUCGGCAGCGGCGGCGGAGCGGCGUGGUCAGAGAGAGCUUCAGAGAAGCCGUGGUGGGUUCGGCGUGACGGUGGAGGAGGAGGCGAGUCUCGGUUUCUUCAUGUGGCUGCAGAUGGCAGGAUUUUCCAAAGCUUUGUGGCUGAAACAUAUUCUGUGGUGUAUCUAUACAGCAGUUUCCUCAUCCCUGCAGCUGCAUAUGCACAGAUUCAACAGUAUGGCUCCAAAUGAUGACAUUUCAUUCUGUUUUUCUGGUUGAAGACUAUUCUAUUUGUGUACAUCCAUCGCAGUUACUUUAUCCCUUCAUCUGUGGCUGGACAGGUUUUUCCACAUGGCUGCAAAUGACUAGAUGUAACCCAUUUCUAUGGUUGAAGAAUACUCCAUUCUGGAUGCAUAUUGCAGUUUCCUCAUCCCUUCAUCAGUGAAUGAACGGGUAGGCAUAUUUCGUAUCUUGGCUAUUGUGAGUACUACAGUACACAGGGCAAGGGAGGUAUCUCUUCCACAUAGGAAUUUCAUUGACUGUCAAUGUACAGCCAGUGGUGGGAAGGCUAGAUGAAAUGGAGUUUUUGCUUUGCUAGAGGAACUUCUAGCUAUU